AUAUAAUAAUAAUAAGAGAAGAAGAAAAGAAGAAGAGGAAGAGACUUCUUCCUCUCUCUUUCUCUUAGCCGGUUACCAUCGCCGGCGACUGCAGCAGGGGCGGCCGGCGAUGGUUCGGCCAAUGGUGGCCGAGGGUGGGGAGGUGAGGGCGCAGCCACCCUGGCUGUUGCCCUUGGACCAAGGAGGUGGAGGAAGAACCCUUCUCUAUCAUCCACCCUUCUUUUGGUCUUUUCAUCAGGACCGACCAUCGUCGCCGGCUUGGCAGCGGCCACGGCUGGCGACGACAUGGGCCGGUGGUACAAGGUGGGAGUCGGGCCACCCCGACUGCCCUAGAUUUGGAGGGAUUGAGAUGUUUGGAGAUCUGGUGAUGGAUCCCAUAGUAGAUGUGAAUUAUAUUUUGGAAUAUUUAAAUAUUAAAUAAUUUAGUUGUGAUUUAUAAUUGAUGUUGUAGAGGAAGAGUCGGCGGUGCCAGGAGAUUUUGAUCAGGGAACUCAGCACCCCAGCUCGUAGUUGUGAUCCGGAUCUGUAAUUGUGACAGUCUACAAUCUCUGUAAGAAUCCCUACAUCUUAGCACUUCUAUGCAUAUAUUGAUUUAUCGUUGGAUUUUAUUUACGGUUUUGAUGUUAUUGCUUGUGAGUUGAUAUGAUACAUAUGAGACGAAUUUUUAUCAACAUAUUUUCAUUAUUAUGUUGUUAUUGUUUAUGAGUUGAUUUCGGCACCUAUGAGGCGUGCAUAUUGUUUA
rnacentral:lncRNA from 1 species